AGCGAACGCUGGCGGCAGGCCUAACACAUGCAAGUCGAACGGACCUUUCGGGGUUAGUGGCGGACGGGUGAGUAACACGUGGGAACGUGCCUUUAGGUUCGGAGUAGCUCCUGGAAACGGGUGGUAAUGCCGAAUGUGCCCUUAGGGGGAGAGAUUUAUCGCCUUUAGAGCGGCCCGCGUCUGAUUAGCUAGUUGGUGAGGUAAUGGCUCACCAAGGCUACGAUCAGUAGCUGGUCUGAGAGGAUGACCAGCCACAUUGGGACUGAGAGCACGGCCCAAACUCCUACGGGAGGCAGCAGUGGGGAAUCUUGCGCAAUGGGCGAAAGCCUGACGCAGCCAUGCCGCGUGGAUGAUGAAGGUCUUAGGAUUGUAAAAUCCUUUCACCGGUGAAGAUAAUGACUGUAGCCGGAGAAGAAGCCCCGGCUAACUUCGUGCCAGCAGCCGCUAAAA
rnacentral:rRNA from 1 species